UACGAAGGGGGCUAGCGUUGCUCGGAAUCACUGGGCGUAAAGGGCGCGUAGGCGGAUCUUUAAGUCGGAGGUGAAAGCCCAGGGCUCAACCCUGGAAUUGCCUUCGAUACUGUCUGGCUAGAGACCGGAAGAGGUAAGUGGAACUGCGAGUGUAGAGGUGAAAUUCGUAGAUAUUCGCAAGAACACCAGUGGCGAAGGCGGCUUACUGGUCCGGUUCUGACGCUGAGGCGCGAAAGCGUGGGGAGCAAACAGG
rnacentral:rRNA from 1 species